rnacentral:rRNA from 1 species
GAUGAACGCUGGCGGCGUGCCUAAUACAUGCAAGUCGAGCGAACGGACGAGAAGCUUGCUUCUCUGAUGUUAGCGGCGGACGGGUGAGUAACACGUGGAUAACCUACCUAUAGGACUGGGAUAACUUCGGGAAACCGGAGCUAAUACCGGAUAAUAUUUUGAACCGCAUGGUUCAAAAGUGAAAGACGGUCUUGCUGUCACUUAUAGAUGGAUCCGCGCUGCAUUAGCUAGUUGGUAAGGUAACGGCUUACCAAGGCAACGAUGCAUAGCCGACCUGAGAGGGUGAUCGGCCACACUGGAACUGAGACACGGUCCAGACUCCUACGGGAGGCAGCAGUAGGGAAUCUUCCGCAAUGGGCGAAAGCCUGACGGAGCAACGCCGCGUGAGUGAUGAAGGUCUUCGGAUCGUAAAACUCUGUUAUUAGGGAAGAACAUAUGUGUAAGUAACUGUGCACAUCUUGACGGUACCUAAUCAGAAAGCCACGGCUAACUACGUGCCAGCAGCCGCGGUAAUACGUAGGUGGCAAGCGUUAUCCGGAAUUAUUGGGCGUAAAGCGCGCGUAGGCGGUUUUUUAAGUCUGAUGUGAAAGCCCACGGCUCAACCGUGGAGGGUCAUUGGAAACUGGAAAACUUGAGUGCAGAAGAGGAAAGUGGAAUUCCAUGUGUAGCGGUGAAAUGCGCAGAGAUAUGGAGGAACACCAGUGGCGAAGGCGACUUUCUGGUCUGUAACUGACGCUGAUGUGCGAAAGCGUGGGGAUCAAACAGGAUUAGAUACCCUGGUAGUCCACGCCGUAAACGAUGAGUGCUAAGUGUUAGGGGGUUUCCGCCCCUUAGUGCUGCAGCUAACGCAUUAAGCACUCCGCCUGGGGAGUACGACCGCAAGGUUGAAACUCAAAGGAAUUGACGGGGACCCGCACAAGCGGUGGAGCAUGUGGUUUAAUUCGAAGCAACGCGAAGAACCUUACCAAAUCUUGACAUCCUUUGACAACUCUAGAGAUAGAGCCUUCCCCUUCGGGGGACAAAGUGACAGGUGGUGCAUGGUUGUCGUCAGCUCGUGUCGUGAGAUGUUGGGUUAAGUCCCGCAACGAGCGCAACCCUUAAGCUUAGUUGCCAUCAUUAAGUUGGGCACUCUAAGUUGACUGCCGGUGACAAACCGGAGGAAGGUGGGGAUGGCGUCAAAUCAUCAUGCCCCUUAUGAUUUGGGCUACACACGUGCUACAAUGGACAAUACAAAGGGCAGCGAAACCGCGAGGUCAAGCAAAUCCCAUAAAGUUGUUCUCAGUUCGGAUUGUAGUCUGCAACUCGACUACAUGAAGCUGGAAUCGCUAGUAAUCGUAGAUCAGCAUGCUACGGUGAAUACGUUCCCGGGUCU